rnacentral:rRNA from 1 species
GACGAACGCUGGCGGCGCGCUUAACACAUGCAAGUCGAACGGAAAGGCCUGCUUUCCCUUGUGGAUUGCGGGUACUCGAGUGGCGAACGGGUGAGUAACACGUGAGUGAUCUGCCCCCAACUUGGGUAUAAGCCUGGGAAACUGGGUCUAAUUCCCGAUAGGACUGCAGGGUGGUGCCUGUGGUGGAAAACGAUUUUCUAGUGGUUGGGGAUGAGCUCGCGGCCUAUCAGCUUGUUGGUGGGGUAAUGGCCUACCAAGGCGGCGACGGGUAGCCGGCCUGAGAGGGUGGACGGCCACAUUGGGACUGAGAUACGGCCCAGACUCCUACGGGAGGCAGCAGUGGGGAAUAUUGCACAAUGGGUGGAAGCCUGAUGCAGCGACGCCGCGUGGGGGAUGACGGCCUUCGGGUUGUAAACUCCUUUCGACCGCGAGGAAGCCACCUGGUUGGAAGGGUGGUGACGGUAGUGGUAGAAGAAGCACCGGCUAACUACGUG